UACGGAGGGUGCAAACGUUGCUCGGAAUUAUUGGGCGUAAAGCGCACGUAGGCGGCUUGUUAAGUCGGAUGUGAAAGCCCUAGGCUCAACCUAGGAAGUGCAUACGAAACUGGCGAGCUUGAAUAUGGAAGAGGGUCGCGGAAUUCCCGGUGUAGCGGUGAAAUGCGCAGAUAUCAGGAGGAACACCUAUUGCGAAGGCAGCUCGCUGGGACGUAACUGACGCUGAGACGCGAAAGCGUGGGGAGCAAACAGG
rnacentral:rRNA from 1 species